rnacentral:rRNA from 1 species
GUGCACGCUGGCGGUAGGCCUAACACCUGCAUGUCGAACGGCAGCACAGUAAGAGCUUGCUCUUCCGGGUGGCGAGUGGCGGACGGGUGAGGAAUACAUCGGAAUCUACUUUUUCGUGGGGGAUAACGUAGGGAAACUUACGCUAAUACCGCAUACGACCUACGGGUGAAAGCAGGGGAUCUUCGGACCUUGCGCGAUUGAAUGAGCCGAUGUCGGAUUAGCUAGUUGGCGGGGUAAAGGCCCACCAAGGCGACGAUCCGUAGCUGGUCUGAGAGGAUGAUCAGCCACGCUGGAACUGAGACACGGUCCAGACUCCUACGGGAGGCAGCAGUGGGGAAUAUUGGACAAUGGGCGCAAGCCUGAUCCAGCCAUACCGCGUGGGUGAAGAAGGCCUUCGGGUUGUAAAGCCCUUUUGUUGGGAAAGAAAAGCAGCAGGUUAAUACCCCGCUGUUCUGACGGUACCCAAAGAAUAAGCACCGGCUAACUUCGUG